rnacentral:rRNA from 1 species
UACGUAGGGUGCGAGCGUUGUCCGGAAUUACUGGGCGUAAAGAGCUCGUAGGUGGUUUGUCGCGUUGUUCGUGAAAUCUCACGGCUUAACUGUGAGCGUGCGGGCGAUACGGGCAGACUUGAGUACUGCAGGGGAGACUGGAAUUCCUGGUGUAGCGGUGGAAUGCGCAGAUAUCAGGAGGAACACCGGUGGCGAAGGCGGAUCUCUGGGCCAUUACUGACGCUGAGGAGCGAAAGCGUGGGGAGCGAACAGG